GAUGAACGCUGGCUACAGGCUUAACACAUGCAAGUCGAGGGGAAACGACGGGGAAGCUUGCUUCCCCGGGCGUCGACCGGCGCACGGGUGAGUAACGCGUAUCCAACCUGCCUCUGACUGAGGGAUAACCCGUCGAAAGUCGGCCUAAUACCUCAUGGCAUCGUCUGCGGGCAUCCAACGACGAUUAAAGAUUUCAUCGGUCAGAGAUGGGGAUGCGUCUGAUUAGCUUGUUGGCGGGGUAACGGCCCACCAAGGCAACGAUCAGUAGGGGUUCUGAGAGGAAGGUCCCCCACAUUGGAACUGAGACACGGUCCAAACUCCUACGGGAGGCAGCAGUGAGGAAUAUUGGUCAAUGGGCGCGAGCCUGAACCAGCCAAGUAGCGUGCAGGAUGACGGCCCUAUGGGUUGUAAACUGCUUUUGUAUGGGGAUAAAGUCAAUCACGUGUGAUUGUUUGCAGGUACCAUACGAAUAAGGACCGGCUAAUUCCGUGCCAGCAGCCGCGGUAAUACGGAAGGUCCGGGCGUUAUCCGGAUUUAUUGGGUUUAAAGGGAGCGUAGGCCGGAGAUUAAGUGUGUUGUGAAAUGUAGACGCUCAACGUCUGACUUGCAGCGCAUACUGGUUUCCUUGAGUACGCACAACGUUGGCGGAAUUCGUCGUGUAGCGGUGAAAUGCUUAGAUAUGACGAAGAACUCCGAUUGCGAAGGCAGCUGACGGGAGCGCAACUGACGCUUAAGCUCGAAGGUGCGGGUAUCAAACAGG
rnacentral:rRNA from 1 species